AACGAACGCUGGCGGCAUGCCUAACACAUGCAAGUCGAACGAUUGCCUUCGGGUGAUAGUGGCGCACGGGUGCGUAACGCGUGGGAAUCUGCCCUUAGGUUCGGAAUAACAGCUGGAAACGGCUGCUAAUACCGGAUGAUAUCGCGAGAUCAAAGAUUUAUCGCCUGAGGAUGAGCCCGCGUUGGAUUAGGUAGUUGGUGGGGUAAAGGCCUACCAAGCCGACGAUCCAUAGCUGGUCUGAGAGGAUGAUCAGCCACACUGGGACUGAGACACGGCCCAGAAUCCUACGGGAGGCAGCAGUGGGGAAUAUUGGAAAAUGGGCGCAAGCAUGAUCCAGCAAUGCCGCGUGAGUGAUGAAGGCCCUAGGGUUGUAAAGCUCUUUUACCCGGGAAGAUAAUGACUGUACCGGGAGAAUAAGCCCCGGCUAACUCCGUG
rnacentral:rRNA from 1 species